rnacentral:rRNA from 1 species
UACGAAGGGGGCUAGCGUUGCUCGGAAUUACUGGGCGUAAAGCGCACGUAGGCGGAUUGUUAAGUCGGGGGUGAAAUCCUGGAGCUCAACUCCAGAACUGCCUUCGAUACUGGCGAUCUAGAGUCCGGGAGAGGUGAGUGGAACUGCGAGUGUAGAGGUGAAAUUCGUAGAUAUUAGGAAGAACACCGGUGGCGAAGGCGGCAUCCUGGACCGGUAUUGACGCUGAGGCGCGAAAGCCAGGGGAGCAAACGGG